rnacentral:misc_RNA from 1 species
CACGUACUGUGCAAACGUUAUUCGGAAUCACUGGGCUUAAAGGGUGCGUAGGCGGCUGAUUAAGUAGGGUGUGAAAUCCCUCGGCUCAACCGAGGAAUAGCGCUCUAAACUGGUCGGCUUGAGUGAGAUAGGGGUGUGUGGAACUUCCGGUGGAGCGGUGAAAUGUGUUGAUAUCGGAAGGAACGCCGGUAGCGAAAGCGGCACACUGGGUCUUAACUGACGCUGAGGCACGAAAGCCAGGGUAGCGAACGGG